GCUACUGCCAUCAGAGUUCGAUUAAGCCAUGUUAGUCGAGGGUGCUUCUUCUUCGGAAGAGGUAACCCGGCGGACGGCUCAGUAACACGUGGAUAACUUGCCCUUGGGUCUGGGAUAACCCCUGAGAAAUUGGGGACAAUACCGGAUAGGGCAUCGAUAGCUGGAAUGCGCGAUGUCCAAAAGCUGGGGCGCCCAAGGAUAGGUCUGCGGCCGAUUAGGUUGUUGUUGAUGUAAUGGAUCAACAAGCCUGCAAUCGGUACGGGUUGUGAGAGCAAGAGCCCGGAGAUGGGUUCUGAGAAAAGAACCCAGGUCCUACGGGACGCAUCAGGCGCGAAAACUUUACAAUGUGCGAAAGCACGAUAAGGGAACUCUGAGUGCCUCCUAUGGAGGCUGUUCAGGUGUCUAAAAAGCACUUGAAGUAAGGGCUGGGUAAGACCGGUGCCAGCCGCCGCGGUAACACCGGCAGCCCAAGUGGUAGCCACGAUUAUUGGGUCUAAAGCGUCCGUAGCCGGCCAGGUAAGUUCUUUGGGAAAUUUAACCGCUCAACGGUUAAGCUUUCAGGGAAUACUGCUUGGCUUGGGACCGGGAGAGGUCAGAGGUACUUCAAGGGUAGGGGUGAAAUCCGUUAAUCCAUGAGGGACCACCAGUAGCGAAGGCGUCUGACCAGACCGGGUCCGACGGUGAGGGACGAAGGCUGGGGUCGCGAACCGGAUUAGAUACCCGGGUAGUCCCAGCUGUAAACGAUGCGGGCCAGGUGUUGGCAUUACUGCGAGUGAUGUCAGUGCCAAAGGGAAGCCGUUAAGCCCGCCAUCUGGGGAGUACGGUCGCAAGGCUGAAACUUAAAGAAAUCGGCGGGGGAGCACCACAACGGGUGGAGCCUGCGGUUCAAUUGGAUUCAACGCCGGA
rnacentral:rRNA from 1 species